UUGUAAUAGGAUGAGGGUAGAAACAAAAAGGACAGACACGGACGGUGAUUGCCGUAGAUUGAACGUGUUAAAGAUAUAAAUUGUGUCUUGUGUAAUAUCAAAUUUUGGAUUUUGAAUUUCGGUUAUAACUUGAGGGCUUUGGGAAAUGCCCUCAAAUUAGAUAUUCAUUUAUUGAAUAACAAAUUGUCUAUAAUGUUUAUGUGAUAAACGUUACCACAUUACACACAUUAGGUUUGGCAGGAUAAACCUAAAUCCUCCUGGCGCCCACAUUUAUGUAUUUUUAGUUAAUUUUAAUAUUUAGUUUAAUAUAUUUUAGUUCUUGUAUUUUGCUAGUUUAUAAAUAUCCUAAUAUAUG